GUGUCUAGUAGAGGCAAGUAUCAAUGGGCGUCCACUCACCAUAACAUCUGAUGACGCAAGGGAUGCAGAGCCUCUCACACCAAAUCAUCUGCUGCUCCUGAGGUCAAAAAAUGCUCUACCACCUGAUGUGUUCCAGAAACAUGAUCUGUAUGGACGUCGACGCUGGCGGCAGAUUCAAUACCUGGCAGACUUAUUUUGGCGCAGGUGGGUGAAGGAAUACCUACCUUCCUUACAACAGCGGCAGAAGUGGCUGAAAGAGACGAGAAAUCUGGAGGAAGGUGACAUCGUGCUGAUUAUCGACAAUCUGCCGAGGAACAAGUGGUUGACGGGAAGAGUAAUCGAAACCUAUCCUGGGAAGGACAAGCUCGUCCGAUCGGUGAAGCUGAAACAUAGCACCGGUAUCCUAGUCAGGCCUGUGCAGAAACUAUGUCUUUUGGAAGAAGCAGAUAGCGUAUUGGUGAACCACAGCGACUAAUUGGAGCAUUCAUUUCUUAUGUGAGAUAAUUAUAUUGAUGCACGGUGAAUUAAACGUGCGAGGUGAGAGCCUAGCGCCGCCUCUUGUGAAUUUUUGUGUCGCAAUUUUCCUGAUCCGUGACGAGCGUAAGAUCCUGAUCAUCAUGUUUCAGUUUUGGAAGAAGCAAAGAGCGUAAAUUGGUGAACCGUGGAGAGCGAUCUCAAUUUAAAUGGAUCCACAGCGAAGAACGACUAAAUUGGAGCAUUAGUUUCUUAUGUGAGAUAAUUAUAUUUGAUGCACGAUGAAUUAAACGUGCGAGGUGAGAGCCUAGCGCCGCCUCUUGUGAAUUUUUUAUGUCGCGAUUAUCCUGAUCCGUGACAAGCGAAAGAUCCUGAUCAUCAUAUUCAAGUUAGACUGACGUCGACGCAAGACAGAACUCGUUUACAGCAACAAACUUGUUUAAGCGCAAGAAAUUGAUAAAAACAGUCCUCAGACUUUAUACAAGACUAUUUGCGGUAACAUUGUGCCCUUGAGGUAAAUCGGGCACGUUAUAUUUGAGGACAGUGAACUCUACUCUUGAAGAGUAAUAAACAUUUCAGCCUUGUUAUAGACUAUGUCAUAUUAUGUUUAUUAGUCAAUACUUGAAGAAAGACUAUAAUGGACUUCAGAAUACAUGUAUUCAUUUCAGUAUUGAACUGAGACUAUUGCUGAAAGAUUUUUUUGUUCGAACGAUAUUCAUACGUAAUUUCUUACAUGUUUUUUCCUAAGAGCAGGAGUUAUAUUUGACCACUACAAAUGAGAAUCAUUUGUCAUGAUAACAUGUUAUUUGGUCAAUGCAUGAGCAUACAAAUAUGUAGUGUCUAGUUCAAGUUGAAACUUUAAAGAACCGAAUUGUGUUGAUAUUUGAUGCAUAGACCCAAAAGAGGAUAUUUGAUAUGAAGGGGAUAGUUGAACUAAAGUUUUGUAUACCGGAAGUAAAUUGACAAUUUACUCAAGAUUGCGAAUGAUGAGAAAGUUUAAUCACAGAAGCACCAUUUUCUGAAUUUGAAAAUCAUUUUUUGUGUGUAACCCUGUUGUACUUAGUGGUGGGCUACUGAAUUUUGCUUGAAAACUCACAAAAAAGGGGGUUUAGUUUCAAGAAUCGAGUACUGAAAUACACAGUUCUGAGUAGUUAGCAGCUCUAGUGCAUAGAGGUACAUGUAGAAUCAUUAUGUUUGAGCUGAUAUAUUUCGUAUUUUCCUUUGGUAAUUCACUAGAUAACUCAAAGUGUGUAAGGAAUGUCAAGGACUUUAACAAUCCUUGUUAUUGUUAUUUGCUACAGAGUGUCAACAAUUGUGUUGAGAUUUAGUUAAUGUGUACUCUAUUAAGGCAACUGAUCGUUUUGCCCAAUGUUACUUUAAUUGACCUGUCGGUAUACAUUUUUAGACGACAAGUGUUUGUUGUGUAUAGGCUAUAAAUUCACCCUAAAGGCAUUUACUGUAAUGUACUACAUUGUGUAAAUGAAAUUAAUGGAAUGUGCUAUGCAGAGUUGAGUGUAAAUUCUGAAUGUUUAGUUGUGUUUUAUUAACAGAAAAGUUAGACAAUUUGAAUGGAAGUUGAAGUUAUUUGGAUAAAUGCUUUGCUGUGGCUACGCAUUUAAGGGGCCGGGAUGUAAGAUUUAGAAAGUUUUCUGUCAUGACGUCGGUUCAGAUUAACCAUAAUUUCAUUUGGUCGUAAGAGGGCGUUUGUAGUUCGCCAGCCUAAAAGUCACAAAAUUUGAAAUGUUUUGUGGACAGUGAUUCCAUCAGUAAUCCCCGACAAUCGAGACAAGCCCAAUGUUAUGAACUGCAUUUUAUGCACGUAUCUCAACUUGGAUGUCGUCGUCCUUUCUUUAAGCCUACUGUUGGGGUCACUUCAGCAGAAUUUAACGUCACAACAUGUACUUGA